UACGUAGGGAGCGAGCGUUGUCCGGAAUCAUUGGGCGUAAAGAGCGUGUAGGCGGUUCGGUAAGUCGGCUGUGAAAGUCCAGGGCUCAACCCUGGGAUGCCGGUCGAUACUGCCGGACUAGAGUUCGGAAGAGGCGAGUGGAAUUCCCGGUGUAGCGGUGAAAUGCGCAGAUAUCGGGAGGAACACCUAUGGCGAAGGCAGCUCGCUGGGACGUUACUGACGCUGAGACGCGAAAGCGUGGGGAGCAAACAGG
rnacentral:rRNA from 1 species